UACGGGGGGUCCAAGCGUUGUUCGGAAUCAUUGGGCGUAAAGCGCACGUAGGCGGUUCGUUAUGUCGGAUGUGAAAGCCCUUGGCUUAACCGAGGAAGUGCAUCCGAAACUGGCGAGCUAGAGUACUAAAGAGGAUCGCGGAAUUCCCGGUGUAGAGGUGAAAUUCGUAGAUAUCGGGAGGAACACCGGUGGCGAAGGCGGCUCACUGGCCCGAUACUGACGCUGAGGCACGAAAGCGUGGGGAGCAAACAGG
rnacentral:rRNA from 1 species